UACGGGGGGAGCAAGCGUUGUUCGGAUUUACUGGGCGUAAAGGGCGCGUAGGCGGCGUGACAAGUCACUUGUGAAAUCUCCGGGCUUAACUCGGAACGGUCAAGUGAUACUGUCGUGCUAGAGUACAGAAGGGGCAACUGGAAUUCUCGGUGUAGCGGUGAAAUGCGUAGAUAUCAAGAGGAACACCUGAGGUGAAGACGGGUUGCUGGGCUGACACUGACGCUGAGUGCGCGAAAGCCAGGGGAGCAAACGGG
rnacentral:rRNA from 1 species